CGACUGCCUUAUGUUCUUCAACCACCUGAUCCAACAAAGAAUCUAAUGCUCCGAAGGUUGCUUUAAGGCGCAAAAUUAAUCCGAUGAAACCACAAGAGUUGGAGCAUGGCCUAAGUGCAUGAGCGGCAGAGGACCAAAUUUUUCGGAGACAGCUCGAACAGAGCGGUGUGGUAGUGUGCCUACCUGGUGAAGUUUCCCAUUUAUCGGAAGCUUUGGUGGGGAUGGUGGUGGUAAGUUAAGUUUGCCCCUUGAUUUAGUGAUUGUGAGAAAAACACAAAAUUAAAAGAGAAGAGCAAGGAAGAGGAAGUUGUUGAUGGUUAAGUUUCUGUGUAGCUCUAGCCAGACUUGGUGCAAAUGUGGUACUAAUAUACACCCAUUUCCUCUACUUGUGAUUAAUAAUACGAAAUUAACCACACAGCUCUGCUCCUCAGUCAUUUAUAGCGGCAGCCUUUGAUGUAUAAAGUAAACAAUUUUAACCUUUAAACAGCUAUUAGAGGUACUUGUACUGUUUAUAUGAAUAAACAAAUGCUUAAAACACCUGCAUAGAAUUAAUUAAACUCAUGGGACCAAUAGAUCACUGUCAAUCCCAAAACUUACAUCAUGUCCAAAAAGAACAAUUCAGUCCAAGAAUAAUAACAAUUGGCAGUAAAUUCCAUUCUGACUGUCUGAUAUUAUGUAAAAACCAUGCCCCAGAUAAUCGGUGUAUAGAAGCAAGAAUGAUGUAGAAUUAGAGAACAUAAAAGCCUAUAAUAUUAUCUGGCAUGGGUCAUUCAACUGGAGUUUAUUUUGAUGCUUAAUGAUUUUCACUUGGGCUAACAAAUGUUCAAGGAAAGUCAAUAAGCAGCUAUUUUGCUGACGCCCAUAAGACAAAGAAUUCCCAUCUAGACAAUACUAAAUUACUAUAGAAGUAUCAGUCAAGAAAAUUAAUUAUCUUAUUAGGAGAGUCUCAAGAGCUACUACUUCGGACCCGAAAAAGAAAAGAAAAGAAAAGAAAUUAAAGGUUUAAUUAAAGAUUACCAGAAGAUAUGACCAUUGUUCUCUAAAACUCCCAACAAAACUACUAGCAAUUAAAUAUCAAAAUAAACUUUUGGAACAGCUUAUGGAUCAUUCAUAACCUGCUGAAGCAUGUACUAAUUGCUAUGCUUAUUCUGCUAAUUGAAACUUACCUUAGCUUAGCCAUAUCUGCUACCAUUUAAUUGGGUUUUUAGUUAGGUGUGGUUGGUCGGUACUCUUCUUGAACUAUUUUUGGUACUGCUUCAUCUCUCCUUCCAUUUCACCAUAUCCAUUUUAUCUUGAGAUGUUCAAGAGAUACUAUAAUUAAAUGCAUUUCAUAAUUUCCAAAGAAGAUUAAAACAUCUCAGAGAGGCCUUACAUAUACCGCUCUAUAUCUGUUAUUAUAAAAAAUUACGUUGCUGCAGGUAUUGCAGAUACAACCUUGUUCAUCAAAAAUAUAAAUAAAAACCAGAUUUAAGAGCAUAAGUAAAAGCCAUGAAAACUCUGGAUGAUGGAGGGAUCAAGGGGA